GGAACGCCUCUCGCUCAUGAGCACAGCUCUCGCGAAACCACGCCUCUCGCUCGCCAUUGCCAACACCACAGAUCUCGCCGCCCCAACCUCGCGGCAUGCCUCCUCGCCGGCGAGGUCCGCGGGCAUCGACCGCGGCCGCACCUCCUACCCCCCCUCGGUUGCCCCUCCACGUCUACGAAACCUUCCCGGAGAUGGUGAGACUGAUCUCACAAGUUCCACAAGGGGUGCUCAUGGCGACCGGGGCUCGGAGUUGGGUGGAGCGGGCGACCAGGAUCCGCGACGCCACAGCAGCGUGGAUCCGACGCGUGCGGGAGUGGAAGGCGGCGGAUCAGGUGGUGGCGGCGGCGACAGACCAGAUCACGAGAUCCGCGGCGGUGAAAUAUGCAGAGACCUAUCAGAGGAGGGCGGAUUUGGAGCAGAGGAUUCUGGCAAGGAAGAUCUACGACGAGGCCACGGAGGAGGAAAGGGCAAGGAUGCCCGCCUUCCCCCACUCCCCGCCGGCCGCGUUCGUGCUGUGGGCGAGGGCGGAGGCGAAAUCAAAGGAUCCCCGGAGGGCGCUGCGGUGGGAGUGCAUACUGGGGGUGAUGCCGUCGGGUGCACCACUGCAGCUCUCGUCCUCGCCGCCGGCGACCAACUCCAGUCGAGAUUGAGCACGUCUCCCGAAGUGGAGACGAGGACUCGGGAGGAGGAGGUGCGGAUUCCUGCUGCUGAUGCUAUCCACAGUCCCAUUUCCGUUCUAAGAGGUGGCGGAGAUCAGAGAUGGAGGAGAUCGGCCUCGCCGCCACCGAUGCCUUCCGGUUCUCCGGCGAGAAUAGUUGUGGGUUGCAGAAGUGGGACUGCCAGGAGGGCCCUACUGGUCAGCGACUCCCCUAUGCGUGCGAGGCUGACAGCAGGUCCCGCUUGCCCCGCCAUCGGGCCACCCAUGGGGAAAGUGGUUGCGCCUCUACAAAAGGCGCCUCCUGUUCGCGAUCUGGAUCCACAGCUUGGGGGGACUGACCGUGGCGAACCUAGGGUUCGUCCCAACCCUAUCAAUUUCAAUAGAUCCAAUUUGGUGUGGAUAAGGAAAGACAGAUUUGCCUCCAGAGACUUCGCUGAAGCUGAUUGCUACCCAGUUGGAAAAUCUGAUCGUCUGACUACCCCAAAAUUAUUCAGCUUCUCCCGCGACUGCUGUGCAAGGAAAUCGGGUAAGAUCCCCUUUGUUUCCAUCGUCAAAAUGGCUGGUGGAGGGAGAGAUGCUAGCAGCCAUGGGGGAGGUAUGGCUCUGGAAGGGGACGCAAUGGCCGUCCUCCUGCUCCCACUCCGACGUGGCAGGAGGCACCUGUGCCACCGCCACUGGUUCCACAGCCUGCUCAAGCCCCUCACCCACACAUGUCGAUUUUUGACAAGACGCCGUUGUUCCCUCUUGGUGCUGCCCCAGCUAUGUUGCAGACUGGUGGACAGAUGUAUGCUGGCUGUCCAGGGGGGUUGAAUCCGCAGAUGCAGCAAUGGCCGAACCAGACCCAAUUCCCUUUCCAGUAUUUGCCUCCUGCUCAAGUUUUCCCUCGGUCUUUUAAUCUUCAGAUGCAACAAGCACAAUAUGGAGGGAGUGGAUCAUCUACUGGAGGGAGUGUCCAGAGCAGUCAGCCAGACUUCAGCAAGAACAAGAAAAAAAGAAAUCAAAGAAACAAACAUGCUGCGGCCCAGACUACUUCUUCAAGUGAUGACUCCUCCUCCAAUGUUGAUCCCAAGUUCAUUGCUGCAAUUUGCUAUAACUGUGGGCUACCUGGACAUUUUGUGGGUAUGUGCCCCACACCAAAAGUUUGUUUCAUCUGCAAGACUCCUGGUCACCACAUGGAUACUUGCCCUACCUGGUACAAGCCCUAUCCUGCUGCCAUGUAUUGGGGAAGUGCCAGUAAUGGCCUUGGAUUUUUCCACAUUGAAACUGGUGGCAAGGAAGACUGUGAAUGGCUGAACUUUGGGAAUGUUGGUUUAGUUUUAGUUGAAAAGGGAGAGAUCUCUGAGAAAGAGCUGGGGCAAUAAUUCUCUAAUAUGUGGAAAACCAAUUGGCCCUGGCAGAUCAGGAGAUAUGAUGAGAAGAAAUUCAUUGCCAGGUUCCCCCCAAACAAGAAGAUCAAGGAUUUGGUAGAGUACCCUUCCAUCAAUCUGAAAAAAGAAGGGGUCACUAUCUCAUUUAGUGAUUGGAAUGGAGAAAUGCCAGCCUAUGACUCCCUAGAAGAAACCUGGAUUGUGAUUGUGGAAAACCAAUUGGCCCUGGCAGAUCAGGAGAUAUGAUGAGAAGAAAUUCAUUGCCAGGUUCCCCCCAAACAAGAAGAUCAAGGAUUUGGUAGAGUACCCUUCCAUCAAUCUGAAAAAAGAAGGGGUGACUAUCUCAUUUAGUGAUUGGAAUGGAGAAAUGCCAGCCUAUGACUCCCUAGAAGAAACCUGGAUUGUGAUUGAAGGGCUGCCUCCCAAGUGGAUAUCUUGGUACAUUAUCACACAAGUGGCAACUAUGCUUGGUGUCCUGGUUAAUGUUGACUGGCACACCAUCUUCAGAAGCUUCUAUGAGAAGGUGAGGAUCCAAGUGGCUGUGAGAGACUCAACUAAAAUCCCCAGAGACAGGGUGGUGGAGAUCCACCAUGAACUUUAUUUGCUAAAGUUUUCUGUGGAGACUGAGUUAGCAAGUGAACAUGAUUCUGAUAUUCCUCCAGGCCCUGAUGACAACAACCCCUCUCAGAAAAAGCAUACCGAAGAUGAGUUUGAUACAAGUGAAGAUGAUGUGCUGGGAGAGGAUAUGGACACUGGAAAUAGUAACACCAACAUCAAGGACAAGCCUCCAGCUGCUGGUUCAACUGGUGCCAAGUCUAUCCAGAAGUGCUCCACUCCUGCUCCUAGAUCCAAUAUGGAAAAUUCUGUUUUCUCCAAGAUUCUGGGUGCCCCUAUGACCAAAAGCUUUCUUGAGAUAGUGAAGAAGCCCAAUGAAAACAUAGGUGGCCCUCUCCUGGAACUAUUUGAUGCUGCUGCUGAUUUGAGCAAACCUAUUUCUCAGAAGAGCCUUGGCACUAAACAGAAAUGGGGGCCUCUGGUGGCCUCCAGAGUUAACACCAAGAACAAGAGAGAUGGAAAACCUGCUCUUCAAAAAGCUCAGGAACUGAAACAGAUUAAAAAUCUGGAAGUGCCUAUUGUAAGAAAAGGUGACCUGGAGGAUAUAUGGAAAAAGGAAGAAAUCAAGGCCAGGCAGAGAUACAGAGAGAGACAUAUUGGAAGGAGACCUGAAUGCUGGCUACUUCAAAGCUAUAGCUAACCAGAAGAGGAGGAAAAAACAGAUCAUGGUGCUGAAAGGAGAUGAAGGUUCUGUGGAGAAAGACUGCUACCAUGCUGGCCAGCAGGGUGGUGCGAUGCUCUGGCCCUGUCAAAGAAAGAAUACUGCAACUGGUGAUGAAGCUGGAACAGGUUAGGUACCUGCAUGUUCUGCUUCAAUGCAACCAGUCAGGAUAACUUGAGGACACUGAUCACAUCAUUUCUGAGCAGUGAGCAGAAUGACCAAAUUUCUCAGUGUACUACUGUUCUAAGACUGCAAGGAAUGCCUUAGGUUGAGACAGGAUUCCGGAGUCAACGGCUUCACAGAACCUAGCAGCUAACCAUGGUUGGCAUUUGCAGCUUAGCAUGGACAAUACGACCAAUUAGACAACACAAUUUCCUCGGAAAGCAACGCAAUAGCUCAGCAUUGCUUAAUGAAGAUCAAGCUGGAGAUGAGACAAAGGAUAUACUGGAAAAGCUAGAAGUUAUGAAAGGCCAUCGAUCUGUCCAAAUAAAAUUGGUGGCCUAUUGGAAAUUGGGAAUCUUUGUGUCCAUUUCAUUGUUACCUUUAUUUUGUAGUGAACUAAUUCUCAUACUGGGCAUAAUUACAUUUUGUAAUAUGUAGAGGUACUGAUGGUUUGUGCAUAUAUGUUUUCUGGUUCGUCAUUUUCACGCCCUCCAAAUGUUUGGACAGAGAGGAAAAAAGGAACCCCCACCCCGUGUCGCUCCUCC